rnacentral:lncRNA from 1 species
ACACUUGGCUGUCCAGGCAUAAGUUUGCUGCAGGAGCGGGGCUCCCAUGGAGAACCUCUGCUAGGGCAGUGUGGAAGGGAAGUGUGGGUUCAGAAUGCCCACACAGAGUCCACACUGGGGCACUGCCUAGUGGAGCUGUGAGAAGAGGGUCACCAUCCUCCAGACCCCAGAAUGGUAGAUCUAUCAACAGUUUGCACUGUGCACCUGGAGAAGCCGCAGUCAAUGCCAGCCCAUGAAAGCUGCCAGGAGGGGGCCUGGACCCUGCAAAGCCACAGGGAUGGAGCUGCCCAAGACCGUGGGAACCCACCUCUUAUGUCAAUGUGACUUGGGUGUGAGACAUGGAGUCA